rnacentral:rRNA from 1 species
UACGUAGGGUGCGAGCGUUGUCCGGAAUUACUGGGCGUAAAGAGCUCGUAGGUGGUUUGUCGCGUUGUUCGUGAAAACCGGGGGCUUAACCCUCGGCGUGCGGGCGAUACGGGCAGACUGGAGUACUGCAGGGGAGACUGGAAUUCCUGGUGUAGCGGUGGAAUGCGCAGAUAUCAGGAGGAACACCGGUGGCGAAGGCGGGUCUCUGGGCAGGAACUGACGCUCAGGAGCGAAAGCGUGGGGAGCGAACAGG